rnacentral:rRNA from 1 species
AAUAGAUACCCGGGUAGUCCACGCUGUAAACGUUGGGCGCUAGGUGUGGGGGCCUCUCCGGUUCCCUGUGCCGCAGCUAACGCAUUAAGCGCCCCGCCUGGGGAGUACGGCCGCAAGGCUAAAACUCAAAGGAAUUGACAGGGGCCCGCACAAGCGGCGGAGCAUGCGGAUUAAUUCGAUGCAACGCGAAGAACCUUACCUGGGUUUGACAUGGCCGCAAAACUCGCAGAGAUGUGAGGUCCUUCGGGGCGGUCACAGGUGGUGCAUGGCUGUCGUCAGCUCGUGUCGUGAGAUGUUGGGUUAAGUCCCGCAACGAGCGCAACCCUCGUUCGAUGUUGCCAGCGCGUUAUGGCGGGGACUCAUCGAAGACUGCCGGGGUCAACUCGGAGGAAGGUGGGGAUGACGUCAAGUCAUCAUGCCCCUUAUGUCCAGGGCUUCACGCAUGCUACAAUGGCCGGUACAAUGGGCUGCGAUACCGUGAGGUGGAGCGAAUCCCAAAAAGCCGGUCUCAGUUCGGAUCGGGGUCUGCAACG